GACGAACGCUGGCGGUGUGCUUAACACAUGCAAGUCGAACGGAAAGGCCCUGCUUUUGUGGGGUGCUCGAGUGGCGAACGGGUGAGUAACACGUGAGUAACCUGCCCUUUACUUUGGGAUAACUUCAGGAAACUGGGGCUAAUACCGGAUAGGAGCUCCUACUGCAUGGUGGGGGUUGGAAAGUUUCGGCGGUUGGGGAUGGACUCGCGGCUUAUCAGCUUGUUGGUGGGGUAGUGGCUUACCAAGGCUUUGACGGGUAGCCGGCCUGAGAGGGUGACCGGCCACAUUGGGACUGAGAUACGGCCCAGACUCCUACGGGAGGCAGCAGUGGGGAAUAUUGCACAAUGGGCGGAAGCCUGAUGCAGCAACGCCGCGUGCGGGAUGACGGCCUUCGGGUUGUAAACCGCUUUCGCCUGUGACGAAGCGUGAGUGACGGUAAUGGGUAAAGAAGCACCGGCUAACUACGUG
rnacentral:rRNA from 1 species